GCCUGGGUGGCUCAGUCGGUUGAGCGUCCGACUUCGGCUCAGGUCACGAUCUCACGAUCUCGCCGUCCGUGGGUUCGAGCCCCGCGUCAGGCU
rfam:Felis catus isolate Cinnamon breed Abyssinian chromosome B2, whole genome shotgun sequence.